CCUACGGGAGACAGCAGUAGGGAAUCUUCCACAAUGGGCGAAAGCCUGAUGGAGCAACGCCGCGUGGGUGAAGAAGGUCUUCGGAUCGUAAAACCCUGUUGUUAGAGAAGAAAGUGCGUGAGAGUAACUGUUCACGUUUCGACGGUAUCUAACCAGAAAGCCACGGCUAACUACGUGCCAGCAGCCGCGGUAAUACGUAGGUGGCAAGCGUUAUCCGGAUUUAUUGGGCGUAAAGGGAACGCAGGCGGUCUUUUAAGGCUGAUGGGAAAGCCUUCGGCUUAACCGGAGUAGUGCAUUGGAAACUGGGAGACUUGAGUGCAGAAGAGGAGAGUGGAACUCGAUGUGUAGCGGUGAAAUGCGUAGAUAUAUGGAAGAACACCAGUGGCGAAAGCGGCUCUCUGGUCUGUAACUGACGCUGAGGUUCGAAAGCGUGGGUAGCAAACAGGAUUAGAUACCCCGGUAGUC
rnacentral:rRNA from 1 species